GCCAAUGUAGCUCAGUGGUAGAGCACUUCCUUGGUAAGGAAGAGGUCACGGGUUCAAAUCCCGCCGUUGGCU
rnacentral:tRNA from 1 species